ACUAUAGUGGGCCAUCUCGGCUACAAUGGGUUGUAGUUAUUUUGAGCCUCACACUUUUGUUUUUUAAAAGAUGUCUAAUAAGAGAGAGAAUGUCCCAUUCUAUAUAAACUAGAGUCCUUAACUCACAACCGAUAUAGGAUUAAAGGUGCCCUUCUUCCGUAAUAGUAGCCCCCACCAAUCAAAGAGGAGUAUGCAUGGACUAGAGUAGGAGGUGAAGGCCCACCCCUUCCUCUAAUGUCAUUCCAUUACGGUCAG
rnacentral:lncRNA from 1 species